rnacentral:misc_RNA from 1 species
GGGGAAUUUUCCGCAAUGGGCGAAAGCCUGACGGAGCAAUACCGCGUGAGGGAGGAAGGCUCUUGGGUUGUAAACCUCUUUUCUCAGGGAAGAACGCAAUGACGGUACCUGAGGAAUAAGCAUCGGCUAACUCCGUGCCAGCAGCCGCGGUAAUACGGAGGAUGCAAGCGUUAUCCGGAAUGAUUGGGCGUAAAGCGUCCGCAGGUGGCAAUGUAAGUCUGCUGUUAAAGAGCAAAGCUCAACUUUGUAAAAGCAGUGGAAACUACAUAGCUAGAGUACGUUCGGGGCAGAGGGAAUUCCUGGUGUAGCGGUGAAAUGCGUAGAGAUCAGGAAGAACACCGGUGGCGAAAGCGCUCUGCUAGGCCUGUACUGACACUGAGGGACGAAAGCUAGGGGAGCGAAUGGGAUUAGAUACCCCAGUAGUCCUAGCCGUAAACGAUGGAUACUAGGCGUGGCUUGUAUCGACCCGAGCCGUGCCGGAGCUAACGCGUUAAGUAUCCCGCCUGGGGAGUACGCACGCAAGUGUGAAACUCAAAGGAAUUGACGGGGGCCCGCACAAGCGGUGGAGUAUGUGGUUUAAUUCGAUGCAACGCGAAGAACCUUACCAAGACUUGACAUGUCGCGAAUCUCCUUGAAAGGGGAGAGUGCCUUAGGGAGCGCGAACACAGGUGGUGCAUGGCUGUCGUCAGCUCGUGUCGUGAGAUGUUGGGUUAAGUCCCGCAACGAGCGCAACCCUCGUUUUUAGUUGCCAGCAUUAAGUUGGGCACUCUAGAGAGACUGCCGGUGACAAACCGGAGGAAGGUGGGGAUGACGUCAAGUCAGCAUGCCCCUUACGUCUUGGGCUACACACGUACUACAAUGCUACGGACAAAGGGCAGCAAGCUAGCGAUAGCAAGCAAAUCUCAUAAACCGUAGCUCAGUUCAGAUCGCAGGCUGCAACUCGCCUGCGUGAAGUCGGAAUCGCUAGUAAUUGCAGGUCAGCAUACUGCAGUGAAUUCGUUCCCGGGCCUUGUACACACCGCCCGUCACACCAUGGAAGCUGGCAACGCCCGAAGUCAUUACUCCAACCAUUCGUGGGGGAGGAUGCCUAAGGCAGUGCUGGUGACUGGGGUGAAGUCGUAACAAGGUAGCCGUACCGGAAGGUGUGGCUGGAUCACCUCCUUUUUAGGGAGACCUAAUCCACUCAAAAAUCGAAAGCACACAGUUAAUAGAUGAUGAGAUGGUCUACUCUAGGUCGGUCGAGAUUGGCAAAAGCUUUCAAACUAUUAUGUGUUCGGUUUGUCAAAGCUUGAGAUGAAUUGGAAUAAAAAUUCAGCAAAAUGGCUUUUUGCCAGACUGCUGGGUUAAACCAGCCAGAACCUUGAAAACUGCAUAGUAACGCGAAAAAAAGCAGGCAGACUCAGACAUUGACUAAUUGAAUGUGUUUGCAGUGGUGAAAACCAAAAGUAAUGUGGUCAAGCUAAUAAGGGCUGAUGGUGGAUACCUAGGCACACAGAG